rnacentral:rRNA from 1 species
UGCAAGUCGAGCGGAGAGAGGUAGCUUGCUACUGAUCUUAGCGGCGGACGGGUGAGUAAUGCUUAGGAAUCUGCCUAUUAGUGGGGGACAACAUUUCGAAAGGAAUGCUAAUACCGCAUACGUCCUACGGGAGAAAGCAGGGGAUCUUCGGACCUUGCGCUAAUAGAUGAGCCUAAGUCGGAUUAGCUAGUUGGUGGGGUAAAGGCCUACCAAGGCGACGAUCUGUAGCGGGUCUGAGAGGAUGAUCCGCCACACUGGGACUGAGACACGGCCCAGACUCCUACGGGAGGCAGCAGUGGGGAAUAUUGGACAAUGGGCGCAAGCCUGAUCCAGCCAUGCCGCGUGUGUGAAGAAGGCCUUAUGGUUGUAAAGCACUUUAAGCGAGGAGGAGGCUACUUUAGUUAAUACCUAGAGAUAGUGGACGUUACUCGCAGAAUAAGCACCGGCUAACUCUGUGCCAGCAGCCGCGGUAAUACAGAGGGUGCAAGCGUUAAUCGGAUUUACUGGGCGUAAAGCGCGCGUAGGCGGCUAAUUAAGUCAAAUGUGAAAUCCCCGAGCUUAACUUGGGAAUUGCAUUCGAUACUGGUUAGCUAGAGUGUGGGAGAGGAUGGGUAGAAUUCCAGGUGUAGCGGUGAAAUGCGUAGAGAUCUGGAGGAAUACCGAUGGCGAAGGCAGCCAUCUGGCCUAACACUGACGCUGAGGUGCGAAAGCAUGGGGAGCAAACAGGAUUAGAUACCCUGGUAGUCCAUGCCGUAAACGAUGUCUACUAGCCGUUGGGGCCUUUGAGGCUUUAGUGGCGCAGCUAACGCGAUAAGUAGACCGCCUGGGGAGUACGGUCGCAAGACUAAAACUCAAAUGAAUUGACGGGGGCCCGCACAAGCGGUGGAGCAUGUGGUUUAAUUCGAUGCAACGCGAAGAACCUUACCUGGCCUUGACAUAGUAAGAACUUUCCAGAGAUGGAUUGGUGCCUUCGGGAACUUACAUACAGGUGCUGCAUGGCUGUCGUCAGCUCGUGUCGUGAGAUGUUGGGUUAAGUCCCGCAACGAGCGCAACCCUUUUCCUUAUUUGCCAGCGAGUAAUGUCGGGAACUUUAAGGAUACUGCCAGUGACAAACUGGAGGAAGGCGGGGACGACGUCAAGUCAUCAUGGCCCUUACGGCCAGGGCUACACACGUGCUACAAUGGUCGGUACAAAGGGUUGCUACCUAGCGAUAGGAUGCUAAUCUCAAAAAGCCGA